GGUGUUCUGAAAUAAAAUGGUCCAGCCUAUUUUUUAUCAACACUUCUGGAGGCCACCUCCCUCACUCCCUAGGGACAUUGAGUCUGCCAGAUCAGGGGCCUGGAAGGAAGGACAUAGUAUGUUGCAAUACAUUGGCUGUGACAGUCUGAGGAACCGGAGUAAUGCUGAAUGGUCUCAAACCAAAAGGUAUCGGAUCCAUUUCCCUCCACAGAUGCUGCCUGACCCUUUGAGUUCCUCCAGAAUCUUGUCUGUUGCCACUGAAUCACUACAGUUAUGCAAGAGGGCAGGGCUGGGACUACAGGCAGAGAUUCAGCAUCCUUAGUACUUUGGAAUUGCAGGGUGAUAGAAGGAUGGAAUAUGUACUUAGUAGAUCAGGCAGCAUCUGUGGAGAAAGAAACUCUAAUAAAGACUGGGAAAGUGAGAAAACCAAUGUGUGUUUGAAGCUGCAGAGGAAAGGAGGUAUGGAGAGAACAAGUCACGCAUCAACCCCAAUCCCAUACCCUGACCACUUUGUUCCUUUCCCCUCUUCAACCUACUCCAUCUGCCCACGUCCCACUUGCUCCCCUAUCCCUAUCUAUCUUGUCUGCCCACCACCCCUCCGUUAUCACCCUCCUAUCUUAUUAGAUUCAUCUGCAGUCUCCAUCAGUCAUCUCCCAGCCCCCGUUGCCCUCCAGCAGCUGACCCCCUCUGUCAAUCAACCCUCUCCCCUACAGCUUGCCAGUUCCACUCCUAUGAAUGCCUACAACAAAAUGAAUCUCAGGGUUGUAUAUAAUAUCAGUUUGAUAAUAAAUUUAGUUUGAACUUUGAACUCUAUUCUUCCAGUAAAGAUUUGCUUAGAUUAGCUAAACUUUAUUUUUUGUCACAAGAUUUGAAUAGCUCAGACUCAGCAGAAAGCAGCUGAUUGGGCAAUCAAAAAUUGAAAAGCUCAAACAAAUAAGAAGAAGGGUAGCUCAAGCCGAGUGGCCAGUCGAGGAGUGGAGCAUUGAGGGUUUGGCUUGAGAGGCUUCGGCGAGAAGAGGCAGAGGACGAGCUUACUCCAACUGCGGUAAGGCCGGCACCUUGUCUAGGAAGACCAUCAGACAUAGGAGCAGAAUGAGGUCAUUCAGCCCAUUAAGUCUGCUCUGAGCCUGCUCUCAGAGAGCAAAAGGUAAACACUUAGCUUUAUUUGUCACGUGCAUCGAAACGUACAGUGAAAUGGAAUUGUUUUCAUCAGUAACCAACACAUUUCAAGGAUUGUGCUGAGGGCAGUCCGCAAGAGUUGCCGUGUUUCAGGCACUGCAUAGCAUGCCCACAAUUUACUAACCCUGACCCGUAUUUCUUUGGAAUGUGGGAGGAAACUGGAGCACCCGGAAGAAAAUCGCAUGGUCAUGGGGAGAAGAUACAAACUCCUUACAGACAGAGGUGGGAACUGAACCCCGACCACUAGAGCAUUGCAUGAACUGCUAUGUUGCCGUGCCUCCUGUCAUGAGACUUUGGAACUCUUUUCUUCAAUGAGUGGUGGAAAUAGACUCAACUAAUAUUCUUAGGCAGAGGUACGACAGAAAUGCAGAAAGGACGUUACAAUUAGUCAUUUCACAAUCAUAUGCCAUGCCAAAGCUGGUUGAAGGGUCUGAUGGGCAUAUUCCUGCUGCAUUUAAAGGUUUCUUCUUCAAAUCUUUCCUAACAUCAAAGGUAUGUGGUUCAAUGUUUGUUGGUGAUUCAUCCCCAAAAACAAGGGAUGGCAAAGAAGGCACAACAGCGAUUCAAUUUAGAAGUCUGUGCAGAUUUGGCCUGUCAUCUAAAACUUUGACAAACUUCUAUAGAUGUGCAGUGGGGAGUAUCCGGCCUGGUCAUAUGAUGGCCUGGUAUGGAAACACCAAUGCCCAAGAACGGAAAGCCUAUAGAAAGUGGUGGAUACAACCCAGCCCAUCAUAGGCAAAGUCCUCCCUACCACUGAGCACAUCUACAAGGAGCAGUGCCACGAUAAAGCAGCACCCAUCAACAAGGACCCCCACCAUCCAGGCCAUGAUCUCUUCUCACCGCUGCCAUUGGGAAUGAGAACAGGAAGUUUAGAUCUCACACCACUAGGUUCAGGAAUAAUUAUUAAUUUACAUGGAUAACACCACUCACCUCAACAGAUUCCACAACCGACAAACUCACUUUCAAGGACUGUACAACUCAUGUUCUUAGUAAUAUGUGUGUGUUUUUAUUUUUUUUUUGUCAUUUGCACAGCUUGUCUUCUCUUGCAGAUUGGUUUCUUGUUAGUCUUUGUGUGUAGUUUUUCAUUGAUUCUAUUGCAUUUCUUUAUUCUACUGUGAAUGCCUGCAAUAAAAUGGAUCUCAAGGUAAUAUAAGGUGGCAUAUACGUACUUCGAUAAUUUACUUUGAAUUUGAACAAAAAUUCUCCACCUAGCACCUCUUCUC